rnacentral:rRNA from 14 species
GAACCAGUACCGUGAGGGAAAGGUGAAAAGUACCCUGAGUAAGGGGGUGAAAUAGUACCUGAAACCGUGCGCCUACAAGCGGUCAGAGCCCUUUAGUGGGGUGAUGGCGUGCCUUUUGCAUAAUGAGCCUACGAGUUGCUGUUGUUGGCAAGGUUAAAUGAUUAAGUCAUGUAGCCGGAGCGAAAGCGAGUCUUAACAGGGCGUUUUAGUCAGCAGUAGCAGACGCGAAACUUGGUGAUCUAC